rnacentral:rRNA from 1 species
AGUGAACGCUGGCGGUAGGCCUAACACAUGCAAGUCGAACGGCAGCACAGUAAGAGCUUGCUCUUACGGGUGGCGAGUGGCGUACGGGUGAGGAAUACAUCGGAAUCUACUUUUUCGUGGGGGAUAACGUAGGGAAACUUACGCUAAUACCGCAUACGACCUACGGUUGAAAGCAGGGGAUCUUCGUACCUUGCGCGAUUGAAUGAGCCGAUGUCGGAUUAGCUAGUUGGCGGGGUAAAGGCCCACCAAGGCGACGAUCCGUAGCUGGUCUGAGAGGAUGAUCAGCCACACUGGAACUGAAACACGGUCCAGACUCCUACGGGAGGCAGCAGUAGGGAAUAUUGGACAAUGGGCGCAAGCCUGAUCCAGCCAUACCGCGUGGGUGAAGAAGGCCUUCGGGUUGUAAAACCCUUUUGUUGGGAAAGAAAAGCAGCAGGUUAAUACCCCGCUGUUCUGACGGUACCCAAAGAAUAAGCACCGGCUAACUUCGUG